ACUCAAGCUCACCAAUGUCAACCUCGGGGACAACGACGGCAACACCCCGCUGCACUACGCCGCCCAGGCAGGGCACGCCGAAGUAGUAAGCGCAUUGCUCAACAAGUUUGACGGCAUUGAAGUGGAUGCCAGAAAUAAGCAAGGCAUUACUCCCCUCAUCAAGGCAUGCGUUCAAGGCAAGGCAAGAUGUGCAAAGCUGCUUGUAGAAAAAGGUGCUGACCCAGCGGCCCGGGACCCCCGGCGCGCUCUGACCAGCGCCGAGUGGGCCUACAUGUGCGGCUGGCCAGCCUGCGCCCGCCUGCUGGAGGCCCACCAGCUGCU